rnacentral:rRNA from 1 species
UAUCCUACGGGAGGCAGCAGUCGGGAAUAUUGCGCAAUGGAGGAAACUCUGACGCAGUGACGCCGCGUGCAGGAAGAAGGUUUUCGGAUUGUAAACUGCUUUAGAUAGGGAAGAAAAAAAUGACAGUACCUAUAGAAUAAGCUCCGGCUAACUACGUGCCAGCAGCCGCGGUAAUACGUAGGGAGCAAGCGUUAUCCGGAUUUACUGGGUGUAAAGGGUGCGUAGGUGGCAGGGCAAGUCAGAUGUGAAAGCCCGGGGCUCAACCCCGGUACUGCAUUUGAAACUGUCCAGCUGGAGUGCAGGAG